rnacentral:rRNA from 1 species
CGCGUAGGCGGCUUGGUAAGGGGGCGGUGAAAGCCCGGGGCUCAACCCCGGGUCUGCCGGACCGACUGCCGAGCUUGAGCACACUAGGGGCAGGUGGAAUUCCGGGUGUAGCGGUGGAAUGCGUAGAGAUCCGGAGGAACACCGGUGGCGAAGGCGGCCUGCUGGGGUGUGGCUGACGCUGAGGCGCGACAGCGUGGGGAGCAAACAGGAUUAGAUACCCUGGUAGUCCACGCCGUAAACGAUGGGCACUAGGUGCUCGGGGGAGCGACCCCUUGGGUGCCGGCGCUAACGCAUUAAGUGCCCCGCCUGGGGAGUACGGCCGCAAGGCUGAA